UACCAGCACCCCGAGUGGUCGGGACGUUUUAUUGGGCCUAAAGCAUCCGUAGCCGGUUCUACAAGUCUUCCGUUAAAUCCACCUGCUUAACAGAUGGGCUGCGGAAGAUACUAUAGAGCUAGGAGGCGGGAGAGGCAAGCGGUACUUAGUGGGUAGGGGUAAAAUCCGUUGAUCCAUUGAAGACCACCAGUGGCGAAGGCGGCUUGCCAGAACGCACUCGACGGUGAGGGAUGAAAGCUGGGGGAGCAAACCGG
rnacentral:rRNA from 1 species